rnacentral:rRNA from 1 species
GGUGAACGCUGGCGGUGUGCCUAAUACAUGCAAGUCGAGCGAACAGACGAGGAGCGUGCGCCUCUGACGUUAGCGGCUGACGGGUGAGUAACACGUAGAUAACAUACCUCUAAGACUGGGGGAAUUUCGUGAAACAGCAGCUACUACUACAUAAUAUAUCGAACCGCAUGAAUCAGUAGUGCAACACACUUUUCGUGUCUCUUUUAGAUGGAUCCGGGUCGCAUUAGCUAGUUGGUAAGGUAACGGCUUACCAAGGCAACGAUGCGUAGCUGACCUGAGAGGAUGAUCAGCCACACUGGAACUGAGACACGGUCCAGACUCCUACGGGAGGCAGCAGUAGGGAAUAUUCCGCAAUGGGUGCAAGCCUGACGCAGCAAUGCCGCGUGAGUGAUGAAGGUCUUCGGAUUGUAAAACCCUGUUAUUAGGGAAGAACAAAUGUGUAAGUAACUCUCCACGUCUUGACGGUACCUAAUCAGAAAGCCACGGCUAACUUCGUG